rnacentral:lncRNA from 1 species
CACACAGCCCUGAGGCUGGAUGGCAGAGAAACAAGAAAAUGGACUCCUUCCUCCUGGAGACAAGAAUGCCAGCCACCAGCCAUGGGUGCCAGAGUUUGCAGCCUGUUGAAGGAAAUCAACAUCAAGUCAGGGAAGAUCCGAGUGCUGGAAGUAUUGGCAACUGAAUAUGGUGGAGGUCCAGGAACUCACUCUGACUUCUUGCCUAGAGUGUGAGGGCUGGGGACAGUGAGGAACCAUUCAGUAUUGAGGAGUAGAUCAACAGAGGUGGCUUCAGGUCUUCAGACCCGGGAAGACAUUGCUCUCCUUGGGAAAACCUGUCACCCUUCCCAAAACCGAUCAGUUGUGGGCCCACAGCUGGGCCCUCCUGCCCUACUGUCCUCCCUCUAGGCCUCUGCCCUUCCUCGUUCUUGCUGGAGGUUCUGCCCUGCCUGCUGGAGUCUCAGUUGGCCUUGGCAGAGUGUUUCGGCUUUUAUCAAAAGCAAGGAUGGUUUGGUUCUAAAUCUAGAGGAAUACACCAGCAUGCUUCUGGCACAGGGGUUUUCUGAUUCUGUGUUAAGUCCCAGUUCAAAUUUUAAAAAGUGAAAAUACUCAGUAAAUAAUGGAUGUGGGGGAACAUGUACUGAUGUGUACUGCUGAUGUGACUGGAAAGGGGGCAGCUUUUUAAAAUGUAUCUAGACUUUGUCCGAGCAGUUCCACCUUCUGGAAUUUAUCCUAGGAAAAUAACCACAUUUGUGCAAAGGUGUAUGAACAGAGAUAUUUAUAACUGCAUUGUUUGUAAUAGAAAAAAAGGAAAUGUCAGAAAGCUCAACAAAAAGGACUGGGUUAUUUAGAAUCUGGCAUAUCCGCACAAGGGCAUGUUUUGCAGCCGAAUGACCUAGGUGUAUAUUGACAAGCAAGACGUUUGCAUAUAUUGCUAAAUUUAAAAAAAAAAAGGGAAAAGAAAAAAUGGAAAAUAUCCUACAAAACAUGCAAGGAAAGUAGCUUUGGACUCAGCCUGCUGGGUUGAAAUCCAGAUCAGUCUUUUAACAUGAAGACUUAGGCAAGUGACGUGCUCUCCCUAAGCCUCUGCUUCCUGCCGGUAAAAUGGGUGUCUGCCUCACGGAAUUGUGAGGCUUUGGUGAGAUUAACAUCUCUUAAAGCUCAGCUCAUGGCCCAGUAUAUGGUGGGUGCUCAUCGGUUGGGUACUCAGAUGAGAUGUGAUUUUAGUUGUCUGGUUAGAAUUAUGGGUGAUUUUCAAUAUUCUAAAAUUUUCCUACAAGGAAUACAUAUUUAUGUCGACAGAAAAAAAAAUACACAACCGGAGUUCCCGUCGUGGCGCAGUGGUUAACGAAUCCGACUAGGAACCAUGAGGUUGCGGGUUCGGUCCCUGCCCUUGCUCAGUGGGUUAACGAUCCGGCGUUGCCGCGAGCUGUGGUGUAGGUUGCAGACGAGGCUUGGAUCCCAAGUUGCUGUGGCUCUGACGUAGGCUGGUGGCUACAGCUCCGAUUCGACCCCUAGCCUGGGAACCUCCAUAUGCCGCGGGAGCGGCCCAAGAAAUAGCAACAAC